GACGAACGCUGGCGGCGUGCUUAACACAUGCAAGUCGUACGGUAAGGCCCUUUCGGGGGUACACGAGUGGCGAACGGGUGAGUAACACGUGAUUAACCUGCCCACAACUUUGGGAUAACGCUUGGAAACUGGUGCUAAUACUGGAUAUGUGCUCCUGCUGCAUGUUGGGGGUUGGAAAGCUCCGGCGGUUGUGGAUGGACUCGCGGCCUAUCAGCUUGUUGGUGGGGUAGUUGCCUACCAAGGCGGCGACGGGUAGCCGGCCUGAGAGGGUGACCGGGCACAUUGGGACUGAGAUACGGACCAGACUCAUACGGGAGGCAGCAGUGGGGAAUAGUGCACAAGGGGAGCAAGCCAGAUGCAGCAACGCCGCGUGCGGGAGGACGGCCUACGGGUUGUAAACCGCUUUCAGCAGGGACGAAGCUUUUUGUGACGGUACCUGCAGAAGAAGCACCGGCUAACUACGUG
rnacentral:rRNA from 1 species